UUGGGUGUGAGUUGUUGCAUGGAGAACGUGUGAGAUGUUCCCGAUGGCAUCCGAUCGCUAAGUAUAAAUAGGAUGCUACGUCGGGUAUUCUGAUCUAUCAAAAAUCUAUUCUAUCUCUUCUUUCUUACUAGUCUCCUAGGUUGUGUAAAUAGCUCUCUUCUUUCUCUUGUUAGGACAAGUCCUAAAAUAAUAGGGACAAGUCUGAUUUAGGAUAAGGAUCUAGGAAGAGAAUUAGAAAAGGCAUGGAGAAAGAAAGAUAGAGAUAGGAAGGCUAGGGAGAGAGGAAGGAAGCCCUAAGGUUCUUUUACCCAAAGAAGUUCUUGAAGGAAGAAUUCAGAGGGAGGAACCAUCUUAAGG
rnacentral:lncRNA from 1 species